GACUCUGUAGUUCAGUUGGUUGGAGCGCUGUGCCACAAUCGCAGGGCCGCAGGUUUGACUCCUGCCAGAGGGC